ensembl:snRNA U6 U6 spliceosomal RNA
GUGCUCACUUCAGCAGUGCAUAUACUAAAGUUGGAACGAUACAGAGAAAAUUGGCAUGGCCCCUGCACAAGAAUGACACACACAAAUUUGUGAAGAAAAAUAAAGUUGU